rnacentral:lncRNA from 1 species
CAUUGAGUGGGCCGUCUAAAGGGUGCUCAGAGAAAAAGUCUGCUAUUUGGUUUGUAAUUGCGGCCCUAGGCUUGAUGGGAGACGGUACCAGGAACUCAUCGCUAAGUUCCUCUUGCCUAAAAAGACAACUGUGAGCCUUGGUAACUUUGAUGUCAAGGCGAGAGAACAGGAAGAAGGAAAUAACAGCAAAACUGGCAAGGAAAGCAAUGUGAGGCUGAGGGACUUUAAUUGAAGUUUAUGGAUCUACUCACCAUAAUCUCCUGCCAUGUGGCUCCUGUUACACUGAGUUCAAGCUGCCAUUGUUGGUAUCUAAGCAAUUAAUAAGAAAUUUGUUCAGCAUUUUUGGGACAGCUGGCUGGCACUGCUUGAUGAAGGGUCAAUUACAUGAGGCUUACAAAAGUACAUUUUUUCAGAUAAUGAAAUGAUUAUAUCCAGAU